ensembl:miRNA Gm44308 predicted gene, 44308
CUGAAGAUUUUUGUCGUGUGUGUGUGUGUGUGUGUGUGUGUGUGUGUGUGUGUGUGUAUAUACACACACACACACACAUACAUACAUACAUAUAUAUGC